rnacentral:rRNA from 1 species
GAUGAACGCUGGCGGCGUGCCUAAUACAUGCAAGUCGAGCGAACAGACGAGGAGCUUGCUCCUCUGACGUUAGCGGCGGACGGGUGAGUAACACGUGGAUAACCUACCUAUAAGACUGGGAUAACUUCGGGAAACCGGCGCUAAUACCGGAUAAUAUAUUGAACCGCAUGGUUCAAUAGUGAAAGACGGUUUUGCUGUCACUUAUAGAUGGAUCCGCGCCGCAUUAGCUAGUUGGUAAGGUAACGGCUUACCAAGGCAACGAUGCGUAGCCGACCUGAGAGGGUGAUCGGCCACACUGGAACUGAGACACGGUCCAGACUCCUACGGGAGGCAGCAGUAGGGAAUCUUCCGCAAUGGGCGAAAGCCUGACGGAGCAACGCCGCGUGAGUGAUGAGGGUCUUCGGAUCGUAAAACUCUGUUAUUAGGGAAGAACAAAUGUGUAAGUAACUAUGCACGUCUUGACGGUACCUAAUCAGAAAGCCACGGCUAACUACGUG